UGAUGCAAAAUCCUUCAGUAUAUUCCUUCUCUUGAGGAGCAACGCAAAAAGGAUUUUUAGUUUUGUUGCUUUUUGGCUGUUUAUAUUUCCAAAAAAUAUCCUGUGAAAUCGAAAAGGUCGUCGUUUUGGAUAGCAGCUUCUAAAGAGCGACCGUUCGCAAGUACAAACAUAUAUAAGUGAAUACUCAAUGCUAUACAAGCAGUUGGAUUCAAUUUUCUUUCGACGGGAAGACCCACUUCUUGGUCUGCAGAUAGACAGAAAUUGCCAGACCUUCAUGACUUCUUUAUAAUCAAUAAAAUACUAAGACCAAAGCUCUGACCAUUCACCAGUGCUACUUACUCUGUAUGAAAAGUCAAUUAUUUCGGCCGCCAAACCAACGUUAUGUAAUAUACACACUAAUUGGUAUUGAAUUUCACUGUGAGGUUGAAGAUUUCACAAAAAUAAUUCAAAACGCUGCGUGGAUGAGUACACCAAAUACCCGCGUGAAACCAUAAAAUAAGCAAGCUUCGACGGAGUUGGCUGCAACCUGGGUCCUCUGCUCUCAAAACUGAGCUUAAUAAAUGUACAGCGAAACUAAGAACACAAAUUAAAAAGUUUAAAAAAAUUUAUUUCAAAACUUAUCUGGCUAAACUUACAGCUGAUAAAUCCACCGACUAUUACUCUAGAAAUCUAGAAGAAAUAUGAAUAAACAAAUAAAACGUGUAGCACCAUUAAACUAACCGAAACUGCAUGGGCCAAAACUAAAGAACAGAAAGCUGCCUUUUUUGCAAAUCAUAUGAGAAAUACAUUUACGCCUAACGAUGGGUAUGAGAUAAACUGUGAAAAUAGUUGGUUGGAUCCUCACAUCAAUAUUUCCUGUCACUAUUAAAGAAAUUAGAAAUGUUAAUGACACAAGACUCAAAAAAGCACAUGGGUACAAUUUAAUAACUGGAGAAAUAUUAUGCAAUUUAAAAAAUAAUUCUAUAAAAAAACGUGUAAACAUUAUAAACAGCGCAUUAUGCCUAAGAUACGUUUCAUCGCUAUGGAAAGUACUAUAUGUAAGAGAGUCAACUUCAGUAUCUACUUGACGAGUGCAGACAGCAGUCAACGCAAUUACUAAGUGGCGCAUCAAAUUUAUCGACACCAAAUCAAUUCAUGACGACUUUACCUUGAAAAAGCUGAAAUAUUGUCCAAUUUAUAUAAACUAUAUUAUCAAGUUCUAAAGGCAGUUUGGGGCUACAGAGCCCAAUUAUGGGGUUGCUCAAGUCAAAGCUGUAUUGCCAGCAUUCAGCGCUUUCAAACUAAGGUACCAAGGACUUUAGUUAAUGCUCCUAGGAAAUGUGAUAUUUUAUCAAACAAGAAAAUACAUUUUGUAGUUCUUUUGAAAGAAGAAUCUUCAAGCUACUCAGAAACUA